rnacentral:rRNA from 1 species
UACGUAGGGUGCGAGCGUUGUCCGGAAUUAUUGGGCGUAAAGGGCUCGUAGGCGGUUUGUCGCGUCGGGAGUGAAAACCAGGUGCUUAACACCUGGCUUGCUUUCGAUACGGGCAGACUAGAGGUAUUCAGGGGAGAACGGAAUUCCUGGUGUAGCGGUGAAAUGCGCAGAUAUCAGGAGGAACACCGGUGGCGAAGGCGGUUCUCUGGGAAUGACCUGACGCUGAGGAGCGAAAGUGUGGGGAGCAAACGGG